rnacentral:rRNA from 1 species
CGUGAGUGAGGAAGGCCUUCGGGUCGUAAAGCUCUGUCAAAAGGGAAGAAAUGCACAGGGGUUAAUACCCUCUGUGUUUGACGGUACCUUUAAAGGAAGCACCGGCUAACUCCGUGCCAGCAGCCGCGGUAAUACGGAGGGUGCAAGCGUUGUUCGGAAUUACUGGGCGUAAAGGGCGCGUAGGCGGCCUGGCAAGUCAGAUGUGAAAUCCCACGGCUUAACCGUGGACGUGCAUUUGAAACUGUCAGGCUUGAGUAUCAGAGGGGAAAGUGGAAUUCCUGGUGUAGAGGUGAAAUUCGUAGAUAUCAGGAGGAAUACCAGUGGCGAAGGCGACUUUCUGGCUGAAUACUGACGCUGAGGCGCGAAAGCGUGGGGAGCAAACAGGAUUAGAUACCCUGGUAGUCCACGCCGUAAACGAUGUCAACUAGGUGUAGGGGGUGUUGAUCCCUUCUGUGCCGCAGCUAACGCA